GGCCUCUCUAGCUUGCGGCCUGUGUCUAUGGUCGGGCCCUCUGCGUCCAGCUGCUCCGGACCGAGCUCGGGUGUAUGGGGCCGUAGGAACCGGCUCCGGGGCCCCGAUAACGGGCCGCCCCCACAGCACCCCGGGCUGGCGUGAGGUUGUUACACUCUGGUACCGAGCUCCCGAAGUUCUUCUGCAGUCCACAUAUGCAACACCUGUGGACAUGUGGAGUGUUGGCUGUAUC
rnacentral:lncRNA from 1 species